UACGAAGGGGGCUAGCGUUGCUCGGAAUCACUGGGCGUAAAGCGCACGUAGGCGGCUUGUUAAGUCAGGGGUGAAAUCCCAGAGCUCAACUCUGGAACUGCCUUUGAUACUGUCGAUCUGGAGUAUGGAAGAGGUAAGUGGAAUUCCGAGUGUAGAGGUGAAAUUCGUAGAUAUUCGGAGGAACACCAGUGGCGAAGGCGGCUCACUGGUCCAUUACUGACGCUGAGGUGCGAAAGCGUGGGGAGCAAACAGG
rnacentral:rRNA from 1 species